rnacentral:tRNA from 1 species
GGACCGAUGGUGUAGUUGGUUAUCACGCCUGUCUAACACUGCUAAGUGCACAGGCGGUCCUCAGUUCAAGUCUGGGUCGGUUCA